UGGGGAAUUUUGGACAAUGGGCGCAAGCCUGAUCCAGCCAUGCCGCGUGCGGGAAGAAGGCCUUCGGGUUGUAAACCGCUUUUGUCAGGGAAGAAAUCUUCUGAGUUAAUACCUCGGGAGGAUGACGGUACCUGAAGAAUAAGCACCGGCUAACUACGUGCCAGCAGCCGCGGUAAUACGUAGGGUGCAAGCGUUAAUCGGAAUACUGGGCGUAAAGCGUGCGCAGGCGGUUUUGUAAGACAGAGGUGAAAUCCCCGGGCUCAACCUGGGAACUGCCUUUGUGACUGCAAGGCUUGAGUGCGGCAGAGGGGGAUGGAAUUCCGCGUGUAGCAGUGAAAUGCGUAGAUAUGCGGAGGAACACCGAUGGCGAAGGCAAUCCCCUGGGCCUGCACUGACGCUCAUGCACGAAAGCGUGGGGAGCAAACAGGAUUAGAUAGCCCUGGUAGUCCACGCCCUAAACGAUGUCAACUGGUUGUUGGGAAGGUUCCUUCUCAGUAACGUAGCUAACGCGUGAAGUUGACCGCCUGGGGAGUACGGCCGCAAGGUUGAAACUCAAAUGAAUUGAC
rnacentral:rRNA from 1 species